UACAUGGGGUGCAAACGUUGCUCGGAAUUAUUGGGCGUAAAGCGCGCGUAGGCGGUUACUCAAGUCGGAUGUGAAAGCCCUCGGCUUAACUGAGGAAGUGCACCCGAAACUGAGUAGCUAGAGUACUAAAGAGGGUCGCGGAAUUCCCGGUGUAGAGGUGAAAUUCGUAGAUAUCGGGAGGAACACCAGUGGCGAAGGCGGCGAUCUGGGAAGAUACUGACGCUGAGGUGCGAAAGCGUGGGGAGCAAACAGG
rnacentral:rRNA from 1 species